ACCUGACUGCUAUCGGAUUGAUACUAAGCCAUGCGAGUCAUUGUAGCAAUACAAGGCAUACGGCUCAGUAACGCGUAGUCAACCUAACCUAUGGACGGGAAUAACCUCGGGAAACUGAGAAUAAUGCCCGAUAGAACACUAUACCUGGAAUGGUUUGUGUUCCAAAUGAUUUAUCGCCAUAGGAUGGGACUGCGGCCUAUCAGUUUGUUGGUGAGGUAAUGGCCCACCAAGACUAUUACAGGUACGGGCUCUGAGAGGAGUAGCCCGGAGAUGGGUACUGAGACACGGACCCAGGCCCUAUGGGGCGCAGCAGGCGAGAAAACUUUGCAAUGUGCGAAAGCACGACAAGGUUAAUCCGAGUGAUUUCUGCUAAAGAGAUCUUUUGUUAGUCCUAGAAACACUAACGAAUAAGGGGUGGGCAAGUUCUGGUGUCAGCCGCCGCGGUAAAACCAGCACCUCAAGUGGUCAGGAUGAUUAUUGGGCCUAAAGCAUCCGUAGCCGGCUCUGUAAGUUUUCGGUUAAAUCUGUACGCUUAACGUACAGGCUGCCGGGAAUACUGCAGAGCUAGGGAGUGGGAGAGGUAGACGGUACUCGGUAGGAAGUGGUAAAAUGCUUUGAUCUAUCGAUGACCACCUGUGGCGAAGGCGGUCUACCAGAACACGUCCGACGGUGAGGGAUGAAAGCUGGGGGAGCAAACCGGAUUAGAUACCCGGGUAGUCCCAGCUGUAAACUAUGCAAACUCAGUGAUGCAUUGGCUUGUGGCCAAUGCAGUGCUGCAGGGAAGCCGUUAAGUUUGCCGCCUGGGAAGUACGUACGCAAGUAUGAAACUUAAAGGAAUUGGCGGGGGAGCACCACAAGGGGUGAAGCCUGCGGUUC
rnacentral:rRNA from 1 species